rnacentral:rRNA from 1 species
UCCUGGCUCAGAUUUGAACGCUGGCGGCAUGCUUUACACAUGCAAGUCGAACGGCAGCGCGGGGCAACCUGGCGGCGAGUGGCGAACGGGUGAGUAAUAUAUCGGAACGUACCCAAGAGUGGGGGAUAACGUAGCGAAAGUUACGCUAAUACCGCAUACGAUCCAAGGAUGAAAGUGGGGGAUCUUCGGACCUCAUGCUCCUGGAGCGGCCGAUAUCUGAUUAGCUAGUUGGUGAGGUAAAGGCUCACCAAGGCGACGAUCAGUAGCUGGUCUGAGAGGACGACCAGCCACACUGGGACUGAGACACGGCCCAGACUCCUACGGGAGGCAGCAGUGGGGAAUUUUGGACAAUGGGCGCAAGCCUGAUCCAGCAAUGCCGCGUGAGUGAAGAAGGCCUUCGGGUUGUAAAGCUCUUUUGUCAGGGAAGAAACGGCUCAGGCUAAUAUCCUGGGCUAUUGACGGUACCUG